AGGGGCAUAGUUCAGUUGGUAGAACAACGGUCUCCAAAACCGUGUGUCGUGGGUUCGAGUCCUGCUGCCCCUGCCA
rnacentral:tRNA from 1 species